rnacentral:rRNA from 1 species
UACGAGGGGAGCUAGCGUUAUUCGGAAUUACUGGGCGUAAAGGGCGCGUAGGCGGCCUGUUAAGUCGAACGUGAAAUCCCCGGGCUCAACCCGGGAACUGCGUCCGAUACUGGCAGGCUUGAAUCCGGGAGAGGGAUGUGGAAUUCCAGGUGUAGCGGUGAAAUGCGUAGAUAUCUGGAGGAACACCAAUAGCGAAGGCAGCUCGCUGGGACGUUACUGACACUGAGGCGCGAAAGCGUGGGGAGCGAACAGG